CUCCUCUUUUUGUUGUUGUUUUUUUUUUAUUCCUUUUUCUCUCCAGACAUAUCGCUCCGUCUUAUCCCAAACCAGGUAGAACACGAGCUCAAUACUGAUCUUCUGCGAGGUCGAAUUGGAGAUGGAUUUGAGGACAGAGGCCAAAUUGGAGAUGGAAAUAUACAUGGGUCUUCAACGAAAAGUCCCACAGUGUUGGAAGCUUGAAACUCGGCGCCUUGUCAGCUUCUACCAUUGCCUUGGGCACCUUGUUAAUUAAGCUUUUGUCUUAUGCAUAUAGCUUAAUUAAAUGAUCUUGUGGUCUGCAACAUCACCAGAAUACUCGUUCUUUGUUUUUUUUUUUUUAUAUUGCUUUGUGCUUUUAUGGAUUUCUGGGAUUGCUUUGUUGACAUUGACCACGACUUGGGUUAAAGCUUCAUCUCUAUACAAGGAUGCCACCGCCAGAGACUUUUGUUAUUUUUUUUUUUAUGUCGGCACCGCUUCGAUCUCUUGCAUCAAAAACUUGCUGCAGCCCCUGGAAGAAAUUGAAAUUGGCUUUAAUAUAUGCCUUGCACUUCAACACAUCUCUGACAAACAGAGUGCCAAUUUGUCUUGUGCACUUAAUUAGAGCUUCAAGUUUUUAUUUUUUCAUUCCACCACUAAGCUUUCAACUUUCUUUCUUCUCUUGACACGCUGCACCCACGAACACAUACUUGUCAUUUGCUUUUGUCAGUCUCGUUAUAUUUGCACAAUUUCUCGUUGUAUUAGCACAAUUUGAUUGAACAUCAUUCUUGCUCCAUUUUCCCUUACUGUUGUACUUUGGUAACUCCUGCAAUUGUCAUUUGAUCUUGAUAGAAUCCAUUUGUUUCAUUGCGAGCAUGAAGACAUUGCCUUUCAUUUGCAUUACCAACUGCUGCAAUUUCAAGGCUCUUGUAAAUCUGAACCUUAUUACUCUUUAAUGCAGGUAAGUACGCGAGCUGUGGUGGCAUAAAUUCCAGAGUUACAGAAUUUGAUUCAACGGUAUAAAAGGCGAGGACAGCAACUGCAGUUAAGACUCCAGAGUUUCAAUUUGAGGACCAUCGGAGACGCUGCCCGGCAUGUUCAUCGGAGACGCUGCUCCGGCAUGUUUUCCUUUUGCAAAAACUUGUGAACACAAAGAAAGUGAAGAUCAUGGAAGAGAGGGAGUCUCCACCUUUGUGAUAAACGCACGCUGUUGAAUUCUUCUUGCUUUUUGCUUGCAGCAGGGUCUCGGCUAUCUUCUUCUCUUUUUAUGUGUCCUCCGCGUCAAUAUGGCUAGCUUUAUAUAGUGGACUGAUUAGAGAGAAUAACGUGAAUGUUGUUGACUCCCACAUGAAACGAAAUAGCUAGAGUCUCAUCUCUUCAAGGCUCUUAGAGAUGAUUUGUCCUUAUCUUUGAUUGAGACGCUCUCUCCUGCUACUCCUAUUCUUUCUCUCUUUUUUUUUCAUCAUUAUUUGGCUGGAACUUUAUCUUGUAUAAUAAAGACAGCUACCAGCAAAGUGUAGCACGGCAUUAUGGAAUUUUGCUCCUCUCUUUGGCCUCAUAUG